AUUGAACGCUGGCGGCAUGCCUUACACAUGCAAGACGAACGGCAGCACGGGGCAACCUGGUGGCGAGUGGCGAACGGGUGAGUAAUGCAUCGGAACGUGCCAUUGAGUGGGGGAUAACGUAGCGAAAGUUGCGUUAAUACCGCAUAUUCUGUGAGCAGGAAAGCAGGGGACCGCAAGGCCUUGCGCUCUUUGAGCGGCCGAUGUCAGAUUAGCUAGUUGGUGAGGUAACGGCUUACCAAGGCGACGAUCUGUAGCGGGUCUGAGAGGAUGAUCCGCCACACUGGAACUGAGACACGGUCCAGACUCCUACGGGAGGCAGCAGUGGGGAAUUUUGGACAAUGGGCGCAAGCCUGAUCCAGCCAUGCCGCGUGAGUGAAGAAGGCCUUCGGGUUG
rnacentral:rRNA from 1 species